GCCUGGGUGGCUCAGUUGGUCAAGCGUCCAACUUCGGCUUGGGUCAUCAUCCCAUGGUUCAUGGGUUCGAGCCCCACCUCGGGCU
rfam:Felis catus isolate Cinnamon breed Abyssinian chromosome A3, whole genome shotgun sequence.